rnacentral:lncRNA from 1 species
AGUUCUUAAAAAGGUGUUUCAAAAUAAGUGGCAACUUUAAUUAAAUGUUUUUUUAUUAUGUAGGGGAGGGGAUGGGCAAGACAUUUGGAAAUAAUUGUUCUUAUGGAAACAUUAUUUAUACAGUAGCAUCAAUGACUUACUUUAUAUUCCUUUCUUUACAUUUUAAGAAAAGGAGCCUUUCAUAUUUGUUUGAGGAUAAAAAUGUUUUUACGUUUUUAUACCUGGUUGACGGAGUACUUUGUCCUUCUCAUAGCUUUAAAGGACCCUGAAUCCUGUUUCGGCACAUGCAGAAUAAAAGUGUGUCUCCUCUCCCCACUCCACUCUUGUGAUGCAUGUCUUUUAUUAAUAGGGAUACAAUUCUGGAAGUGAUAAAUUGAGACUUGGCUCUCAUUGCUUCACACAAAUAUGGCUGGUGAAACUCCAGUAUGUAGUUCAUAUGACAGAUUUCAAGAUAGCACAAAUUGAAUCAAGUGUUAUGACUCAGAACACUCUGAGGGUUAAUUAAUGUAUGUCUACAAAAAUAAUUUUGGGGUAAAAAGGCUACACAAUGGAAAAGUAUUAGUAUAGUGAUGCUCGCAUAUAGUAAAAGUUGUACAGGAACUAUUUUUAUAGCCAUCUUUCCCUCUUUUCAAUGCUUUCUCUCUCUCCCCUUAUCUAAGAGAUCAUGCCCUACUUUACUUAAAUCUUCGGUUAUCCAGGAGUUGGCUUCCUCUGCUUUUGGAACUUGUGAAGCAGCUGGGUAGUGAUGCUAAUCGGGGCUGGUUGGAACUGAGGAUGAAGGUGAGGAGGCUGGCAAGCUGUCACUCAAAGGAGUUGCAUGGAGUCUUGCCAAUGAGAACCAGACCAUGGCAGGAAUUAUAACUGAAGAUAUGAUUCACAUGUAUGUGUGUGUGCACACACAUAGUCACACAGACAGGCGUACACAUGAAACCGCUGAGUAAAGCAGAGUAUUCCCUGAGGAAAAUGAGAAAUAGAACUUCCCAGAAGUCAACAGUGACAGAGUUUGUUCAUUCAUGUACUCUCUCAUGCCUCUGUUCUUUCAGUAUUUGUGUAAUCUCUACUCAGUGCUCUACACCGAAGAAGACAUUACAGGAUCAAAAUGGCCAAAUGUUUUUAAGAAAGUAGAAUUAAUUGGAGGCACUAUUUCCAUAUGUCUAAGAUUAAAUCAUAAUAAAAAAAAAGCCAAGGGUUUAAUGUCUUUAAAAUGCCGUCGGAUACUACCAGAUCUACGGAAAAGGCCCACUCAUUUCUGAAGGAGUUUUUCUUUGAGGAUUAGCUUGUCUAUAAAAUUUAAAAAAACUAAACACAUGGUGAGAGGCUAUGGGUGAUGGUUCCUCUCAGGACAACUGGUAACAUUCCCAGAAUUGAUUCUCUUGGGAUCCAUCACUAGAAAUACAGGGAAGGCAGGGCAAUAAUGACAUAACUUGUUUGUUAACUUCCUUCUGGCUGCCUGAGAAAUACAGCAAACCAUUUUGUGUUUGAUAUGUACUAUAAAAGGUUGAGAAUAGUAAAAGGGAAAUAAAGCAUUACAUGGAUUUCACUGACGCACAGAAAAUAAACUUCUUGGUUCCUGUUUACCACCCACAUCAGUUUGAUUCUCCAAACUUGCUGUAGCUCUGUAUAGACUGUUUAAAAGGUUAGCUGCCAUGACCCUGAUACGACAAAGAGCUACACAAGAAGGCGAGUGCCAGCAGUGCAUGAACAGGAAAAUGUUUAAGCCUUAAAGGUAGAAACACCACAACAGUGGAUUCGAGUAAAAUGUUUCCGCGAGUUCAACUCUGGGAGCGUUUGACGGGUUGUCUUCCCAGAAAGAGAGGAAGGAUGUUGUCUUUAUGUGGAUGCGGUGGUUAGAAAGUGAAUGUAUUAGAUUUCCCAAAUAAGCAUCAUUUUGAGCAUCAUGUAUUCCAUUCACACCAGGGGCACUGAUUUAUAAUUACCCUAACGGAGCCCAGAGUGGGGAGAAAUGGCUGUUCCCAUCGACUUCUUCUUAGGCACCGAGUACAUUGGUCACCCACCACCUCAACCACAGGGUGCAAGUGAGGUUUGCUGAUUUCAGCUUGCUUACCAUGGAUGUGCAUUUCUAGGUCACUGAUUCUGGCACAGCAGUGUUCACGGCAAGCAGUGUAUAUAAAGGGGAAUUUACAUGCAGGACGGCUGGCAUAGCCGGAUGGACUUUGGCUUGGCCUGCUUGGGUAACUAACUGUAAAUGAAGCCUGGGCAUUUCCAGAUCGUGUCCUCGCUAAUGAAAAAUGCAUUUGUGUUUGGAUGUACCGAUGUCCAAGUAUAUUAAACCAAAACAUAUACUGAGCUGGCAACAUGGAAAAACAUCUAUUAUGAGUAGCGAGAGAAGGAGUGCCUCAAAUGUCUCCUUUAGCUCUGAAUUCUGUUCCCUAUUUUAUUGUGAGGGGAGUCUAUUAGCAAAAAAGAUAAGAUUUAAGAUAGAAACCUUGCAAGUAACGUUAAGUAGCUGUCUAUCAGAGCAUAUCAUCUACGAGAUGCUGUUAGCGGUUUGACUGAAUUCUAGCAGCAUAUACUUUUACUUAUCUUUCUGGGUUGGUUGCAUUCAGCCAUGAUGGUAUUCAGAUUGUUGACACAUGAUUUGUGAGAGGAUUUAGCUUUCCUUAAACUGCAACAUGAAUACUGAAAUGGGAAUCUAAUCUUAAAACUAGUGCAGGGCAAUUUGCAAAAGCAUCUUAAAACAUGAGUGUGGGGAAUCUUGAAACAUCAGGAAGAAAAUAUUUUUCCUAGUGUCAGGAAAAAACACUGCAGGAAAAGGAGGGUCAUUAGUAGCUGAUUUGCUGAACCAGAUGGGGCUUCGUGACAUGUUUAAGGUGAUCCCAAGAGUGGUAUUUGCUUGAGGCUACAAAUGCUAUCUUUGUAUCAAACUCUGAAGCCAGUGCUGGAAUAGAAAAUAGAUAUCUCAUUCUUUAGGUAUUUUUAGGCGUUAUUGAUUCUAGCUUCUAUAUUGAGUUUAUAAAAACAAAUCAGGGGCCUGAGGGGCCGCUGCCUGUUGUUGCAGGAUCACUGAGGGCAAGCGGUUCUUAGGGUAUUUAGAAACUAGUUAGGUACAAACACACACUGUGUGUUUGCAUAUAUGCAUAUACAUAUAUCCGUGUGUGUGUACACAUAUAUUCACAUGUAUGUGUAUGUGUUUGUAUGUGUGUACGUUUGUGUGUGUGUGUGUGUAUGUGUGGUGCUUUGAAUGAAGUGGAAAAACCCUGGAGUCAUGGCUUCCAAGGCAGUCUCUGGGCUUUAACCUACAGAUAUUGUGCGAUCUUGGGCAAGCUCUCUCACUCUGGGAGAUCAGCUAGUCAUGAGGAUCCUGCCCUUAGCAUCUGACACCUUCUUGGAUAACAUAUUUUGAAUCUGCUGAGGAAAAGGGUUGAGGGUUGAUAGUAUGUUUGCUCUGUAUUUAAACUUUCAAGCCAAAUGGGAGUCUGCAAUGUGCCUGACACUCUUCUAUGGGCACUGGGGACACUAUAGUGAAGAAAACAGAUAAAAGAAGGUGACAUGUGACUACUAAUUUGAAAGAGGCAAGAGAAGGAGGAAGGAACAUUCCAGGUAAAGAGAAAAUCAAUUGCAGAGGCCCCGAGGUGGGAGUGUGCUUGGCAUAUUUGAGGAAGAUCAGGGAGCCACUGUACCUGGAGUAAAAAAUGGGGUGAAAAGUUACCGGUGAAGUCAGAAUCUUGUAGGUCAUUGAAAGGGCUAUUCGCUAUCAUUUGGGACCCACUUUAGAGUGUUGAGCCUGGAAAGUGACAGGUGUGACCUGUGGUUUGAAUACAUCUGCCUGUACCCUAUGGUGAGAGAAGAUCUAGGUGGCUGGUAGGAGAGGAAGUGGGGAGAAAAGUUAGGAGGCUGUGGGAGUAAUUCUGCAAAGAGGUGAGGGUGCUGAUACUGAGGUGCUAAUGGAAGAGGUAGUGAGAAGGGGUCCGAUUCUUGAUAUAGAUGGAAAAAAUGGAGCUAAUUGGGUCACUAAUGCUUUGGAUGUGGGCUAUGAGGGUGAGAAGACAAGCAGGGCACCGAGGGUUAUAGCACUGAGACUGGAAGGAUGAGAUUUCCAUUUGCUAAAAUGAGAUGCCUAUUGGAAGAGCAGGUUUGGGAGACUAGGAAUUUGUUUGUGUGGGGGGAAUGCAUUUAAUUUCUGACCCUGCAAGUUUGUCGUAUCUCUAUUUGCAAGGCAAGUAGAAACAUCAAACAGACAGCUAGAAUUUGGGCAGACGCUGGGAAUUGUUAGUAGAUAGGUGGUGUGGGAAAGCCAUGAGGUCUCCGAGGAGACAGUGUACCCACACAUGUGGACGACGUCCUUGGGCAAAGCCUGGUGACCCUACAGUGUUCGGAGGUCAGGGAGAUGGGGAAGGACCAUAAAAGAAACUAGAUGAGUGAUCAGUGAGGAGGAAGGAAAAGCAGGAACAUGGGGUGACCCGGCAACCACGCAAAGGAGGUGUUUUGAGAGAAUGAUCUGUUAUGACAAAGGUUGCUAUUCAGUCAAUGUGGGAGAACACGAUUUAAGACAGAAAUGGUGGGGGUGGCGGGGGAAGGCUUUAUACUUUAAUUUCUCCAGCGGGGAUGAGGGGCUGUUGCCUCUUCUGACUUGGCAAAUCGUAGAAAUUUUGGGCUUUCUCUACCCCCCACCCCCCUUAUUUUUGUUUUUUUCCUGUUUACAGAUGGAAAUUCUUUUCUGAGCUAAUCUCUUAAAGCACUUUGUCAAAUGCACCCACUAAUAACCGGCUCACGCUUUUAACAUUCUGUUUUCCAAUUAUGUUCUGUGGAGCUACAAUACGAUGAGGUACAUGAACUGUCUCAGAAAUUGUCAGACAAGAUUAUUUACCAAAUAAUUUGUGACGGCAUAAUAUGGCCUGCCAUCUCUCCAGCUUGUCAUGUGAUUUUCCUAACUGCUUAUUCUCUAAGCCAAGGCUACACGAGAGUUUAGAUUUUAAGGUUUUUAGCAGGGACCCCUUAAGAACCAAAUGGAAAGCUAGGCAGUCCCCCAGUUCUGGUGGCCGAAAAGAGUGAGCCUUUGUCUUCCACUCACACAAAGGCUGCGGCAGGAUUGGGGGGCCCCCACAGUGACUAUCUUCCAUUUCACGACUCGGCCUGGCUGAGUCCCUGCGGGUAGUGAAGGCCGUGUUGGAAAGAUGAGCAUCCAAAGUUAGGGUCUUCCAGGAGGAAGUUACAUGCGUGCUCCUACCCGAAACCAGAUGACUGCUUCUAAUUUCGAAGGCUUAGAGAAGAAUAAGGUAUCAGAGAACAGCUGCAGAGCCUGCCUCGGAAAUAAUCUGUUUUUACUAUAUUUUGAGAGUCACAAAUCAGUGUAAAGCCAUGUGAAUUGACUUUUUAUCUUCUUACCUAAUAUCGAGGUGAUUUCUUGAAGAAAAAUUUUGCUUCACGGCUGGGUCUGAGGCUGUAAAGACAGAAUAGCCAGCAUAUUAUGAACAGGGUUGCCUCUGGGAAAAGCCCCUGAGAAGAUGGAAUGAAAUGAAACCAAACUCUCUGCAGUCAAGUGCUGCUCUGUUACUUCCCAGCUGUGUGUCACUGGUCAAGGUAGAAUUGCCAGAUGUAGAAUAUAAAAAUACCAGCCUCCAGAAUUGUCAGAAAAACUUCCUUCCUGAAGCCACCCAGCCUGUGGUAUUUGUUAAUGUAGCCGGAGCAAGGCAGACCCACAGGGACCUCUGGAAGCAGAGUCCCAUCCCUUUCCCCCAGCAGACACCAUCCUCUGCCCAGGGGAAGAGUUCUGCUUACCCUUUUUCUGACAAAGGAAUAUUAUAGAGACAAAGCUGGAAAAAACACGUCACCCUGUGAAGGAGCUUUGGUUCAGCUGCAGAGCUAAACUCUUACCUCUGUGCUAAAUUGGAAUUGGCCGUGAAUGAUUAUGAAAAUCUGCCGUUGCUGAAGGAUCUUAUUGGAAACCAAAGACAAGAACAGACAUUUCUUGGUGUCGCUGUGUCCUAGCAUGUGGUCUCUAUACUUGGGCUCCUGAAUGCUUUCCUGUGCCUUGUUAAAUGUAUUGUUUUUCUGGACCCCAUGAAAGAAAAAAAUGCUUAAAAAAAAAAAAAAAGAUAAGCUCUGGGCAGUACAGUGACAAACUCCUGCAUAUACUUUUAACUUUUCUUCUGAACCCAUUGAAUCUGUGUAUUAAAAAUUACCAUUAUUUGUUUAAAAUUAUGUUAAAAACACUGUUCUUCUCCCUCUUGUCUAAACAUAUUUAGUCUCUUAUUUGAAUUAGCUUCAUAUCUUUGUUUCAGAAUCCGAUUUAACUUGAACUUAUACUAAACCUUU